GAUGAAGAACGCAGCGAAAUGCGAUAAGUAGUGUGAAUUGCAGAAUUUAGUGAAUCAUCGAAUCUUUGAACGCACAUUGCGCCCUUUGGUAUUCCUUAGGGCAUGCCUGUUCGAGCGUCAUCUACACCCUCAAGCACAGCUUGGUGAUGGGCGCCUGUCCCGCCCCCCACGGGGGCGCGGACUCGCCUCAAAUGCAUUGGCGGCCGGCGACCUGGCUUCGAGCGCAGCAGAAACGCGUACUCGGGGACCGGGCGCCCGCUCCCAGAAGCCAACCCACCCAGUUUGACCUCGUAUCAGGUAGGGAUACCCGCUGAACUUAAGCAUAUCAAUAAGCGGAGGA
rnacentral:misc_RNA from 1 species